GAGACAUCGGACAAACUUAGUGCAUCGCAUAGUGUAUUACAAUACGUGAAAUAUGAUUUUUUUUUCAUUUUGAUAUUAAAUCCUAAAUCACGGCUUAGGCAACACCUAUAUUCUUAUUCAUUUGAGUUGGCGUGCGUUGAUCCGUUACAUUAAUCUACUCCUAUUCAGCUUUUAACUUGGGCAAAUCGGAGUUAGAGAUUUCUCAUCAAGAAUUUGCAAAGGUUACCAAGAAUUUACAAAGGUUACCGAAUUCAAUCGGAAUAUAGUCCACGCUGUUUUAGUGCACUUGACGAGAUGCGGAUACCAUAAUUUUUAUUGAAUGAGAAAUCAGGUCACGUAAAAAUAGAUCUUCGUGAAAGAAACAAAAUUAUCUCUCUGCAGAACUCAGACCAUUUGAAGGGCCUUCAUGUGCUGAAGUCCGCCAUCAUCGAUAACUCAUCCACGGCUUCAACGAUUUUCUCAAUUCUUAUAGUAAUUUCAGUCAAUAGAGAAGAUAAAGUAACAAGCGGUAUAACGUCCAUGAAGGGAACUAUUAUUGGUGAGAUAAUCGGAUUAUCUUUCUUUUCUUUUUCCUCAGCAUGACCUUCAAGACCCGUUGAUGGAGGACUGAAUUGAGUAGGAAGGGACUUUAUAGUUGUCUGAAGAUCUUCAACUGUAGAAUUCAUCUGUUCGACUAAGAAGUCUAUCGUAGUAGAUUUAGUCAUGGACUUGGUCACAACGGCUAGCUCUUUCAAGACCAUUGAAGAAUGAGAACUCAGUUUCAUGCACACUUCACUGAGGUGUUUCUUUGUACACUCAUUUGCCUGUAAUCAUCAUAAUCAGCUAAAAUUGAGUAACCGGAUGAUUGAAACUAAAGUAUGAUCCGAUACGGAAAUUCAUGAAGUAGAGAGCUUACAUUAAUAUCCGAAUUCAUGCAACCACUGAGAGCUUCUACACAGUAAGCGCAGUUUCUCAUCAUUGCCCCAAUCUUAAGAUACUGAGUCCACGGAUGUCGAAAGCCAAAAUUCCCGUGGGCAGGUUCCCAUCUUGCGAAAUUCGCCUAUUAAAAACACUAAAUCAGAUUGAGAAAAAAAAAAAAAAAAAAA